rnacentral:rRNA from 1 species
UUCGCAAUGCCCGAAAGGGUGACGAAGCGACGCCGCGUGCGGGAAGAAGGCCUUCGGGUUGUAAACCGCUGUCGGGAGUUAAGAAAUGCAAGGAUAUUAAUAGUGUCUUUGCUUGACUAAGGCUCCGGAGGAAGCCACGGCUAACUCUGUGCCAGCAGCCGCGGUAAUACAGAGGCGGCAAGCGUUGUUCGGAAUUAUUGGGCGUAAAGAGCACGUAGGCGGCUGUGUAAGUCGGUUGUGAAAGCCUUCCGCUCAACGGGAGAACGGCAUCCGAUACUGCAUGGCUUGAGUGCGGGAGGGGAGAGUGGAACUUCUGGUGGAGCGGUGAAAUGCGUAGAUAUCAGAAGGAACACCGGCGGCGAAGGCGACUCUCUGGCCCGUAACUGACGCUGAGUGUGCGAAAGCUAGGGGAGCAAACGGGAUUAGAUACCCCGGUAGUCCUAGCCGUAAACGAUGGGCACUAAGUAGAGGGGUUUU